ACAGUGCACAUUUCGACGGCAUCGAUCACUUUUGAAACUUAUCGAGAAGAACUUUUUGAGACAAAACAGCAAAAUCAGAUUUGUUUACAACGUUUAGCCUACAGAACCUCUGUUCCAGACUGUUUAUGGUUUGGAUCUUAUGUGAUCAAGCUGGUGGUUGACUCAUGGGUGCACCAUUUAGCUUCUUAAAUGCAUUUCACUGACAGUAGUUCCAUUUGGAGUAUAUGUUACAUGUUAGAUACUCUUGUAGUUUGGCAUGCACACGAUUACUUCAUCAGUAUAAACAAAGGCCUUAACAAAAAAAAAUUGCAGGUCUAUUGAUGUGCAUCUACAGCAAAUUAAUCAACUAGAAGACAAAGUAUUAGACGAACAUGCCAUUAACAUGUGGAAGGAGAUAUUAUGUGAUAAGACCGUGCCUUAUAAAAGCAGCGCUCUUGAUUCGACUGGAGGAUCUCAAGAUAGGUAGUUGAGGAAGGGCCAGGAAACUUCUUCUAC
rnacentral:lncRNA from 1 species